CCUACGGGUGGCAGCAGUGAGGAAUAUUGGUCAAUGGGCGUAAGCCUGAACCAGCCAAGUCGCGUGAGGGAUGAAGGUUCUAUGGAUCGUAAACUUCUUUUAUCAGGGAGUAAAGUGUGGGACGUGUCCUGUUUUGUAUGUCCCUUAUGAAUAAGGCUCGGCUAACUCCGUGCCAGCAGCCGCGGUAAUACGGAGGAUCCGAGCGUUAUCCGGAUUUAUUGGGUUUAAAGGGUGCGUAGGCGGCCUUUUAAGUCAGCGGUGAAAGUCUGUGGCUCAACCAUAGAAUUGCCGUUGAAACUGGGAGUCUUGAGUAGGUUGGAGGCAGGCGGAAUGCGUGGUGGAGCGGUGAAAUGCGUAGAUAUCACGCAGAACCCCGAUGGCGAAGGCAGCCAGCCAAGCCAUGACUGACGCUGAGGCACGAAAGCGUGGGGAUCAAACAGGAUUAGAUACCCUAGUAGUC
rnacentral:rRNA from 1 species